rnacentral:misc_RNA from 1 species
UCUCCGUUGGUGAACCAGCGGAGGGAUCAUUAUAGAGUUUUCUAACUCCCAAACCCUUUGUGAACUUAUACCUAUUGUUGCCUCGGCGCAGGCCGGCCUCUUCACUGAGGCCCCCUGGAGACAGGGAGCAGCCCGCCGGCGGCCAACCAAACUCUUGUUUCUACAGUGAAUCUCUGAGUAAAAAACAUAAAUGAAUCAAAACUUUCAACAACGGAUCUCUUGGUUCUGGCAUCGAUGAAGAACGCAGC